rnacentral:rRNA from 1 species
AGCAGUCGCCACGGUAAUACGAAGGGUGCAAGCGUUACUCGGAAUUACUGGGCGUAAAGCGUGCGUAGGUGGUGGUUUAAGUCCGUUGUGAAAGCCCUGGGCUCAACCUGGGAAUUGCAGUGGAUACUGGGUCACUAGAGUGUGGUAGAGGAUAGUGGAAUUUCCGGUGUAGCAGUGAAAUGCGUAGAGAUCGGAAGGAACAUCUGUGGCGAAGGCGACUAUCUGGGCCAACACUGACACUGAGGCACGAAAGCGUGGGGAGCAAACAGGAUUAGAUACCCCCGUAGUCCCUGUCUCUUAUAC